rnacentral:rRNA from 1 species
AUACGGAGGAUACGAGCGUUAUCCGGAUUUAUUGGGUUUAAAGGGUGCGCAGGCGGACCGUUAAGUCAGGGGUGAAAAGUUGGGGCUCAACUCCAAUCGUGCCUUUGAUACUGGCGGACUAGAGUGCAGGGGACGUGACUGGAAUGUGAUGUGUAGCGGUGAAAUGCUUAGAUAUGUCACAGAACGCCGAUCGUGAAGACAGGUCACGAAUCUGCAACUGACGCUCAUGCACGAAAGCGUGGGGAUCAAACAGGAUUAGAUACCCUGGUAGUCCACGCUGUAAACGAUGAUCACUCGUUGUUGGCCGGCGACGGUCAGUGGCUAAGCGAAAGCGAUAAGUGAUCCACCUGGGGAGUACGAUCGCAAGGUUGAAACUCAAAUGAAUUGACGGGG